rnacentral:rRNA from 1 species
GGGGGGGGCAAGCGUUGUUCGGAAUUACUGGGCGUAAAGGGUUCGUAGGUGGCCAACUAAGCCAGACGUGAAAUCCCUCAGCUUAACUGGGGAACUGCGUCUGGGACUGGAUGGCUUGAGUGCAGGAGAGGAACGCGGAAUUCCAGGUGUAGCGGUGAAAUGCGUAGAUAUCUGGAGGAACACCGGUGGCGAAGGCGGCGUUCUGGACUGCAACUGACACUGAGGAACGAAAGCCAGGGGAGCAAACGGGAUUAGAUACCCCGGUAGUUCUGGCCCUAAACGAUGAAUGCUUGGUGUGGCGGGUAUCGAUCCCUGCCGUGCCGCAGUUAACGCGUUAAGCAUUCCGCCUGGGGGGUACGGUCGCAAGGCUG